CAGCCGCCGCGGUAAUACGUAGGUGGCAAGCGUUGUCCGGAAUUAUUGGGCGUAAAGGGCUCGCAGGCGGUUUCUUAAGUCUGAUGUGAAAGCCCCCGGCUCAACCGGGGAGGGUCAUUGGAGACUGGGAAACCUGAGUGCAGAAGAGGAGAGUGGAAUUCCACGUGUAGCGGUGAAAUGCGUAGAGAUGUGGAGGAACACCAGUGGCGAAGGCGACUCUCUGGUCUGUAACUUACGCUGAGGAGCGAAAGCGUGGGGAGCGAACAGGAUUAGAUACCCGCGUAGUCCCUGUCUCUUAUAC
rnacentral:rRNA from 1 species